GUUGACCUCGGAUCAGGUAGGGAUACCCGCUGAACUUAAGCAUAUCAAUAAGCGGAGGAAAAGAAACCAACAGGGAUUGCUCUAGUAACGGCGAGUGAAGCAGCAAUAGCUCAAAUUUGAAAUCUGGCGUCUUCGGCGUCCGAGUUGUAAUUUGUAGAGGAUGCUUCUGGGCAGCCACCGACCUAAGUUCCUUGGAACAGGACGUCAUAGAGGGUGAGAAUCCCG
rnacentral:rRNA from 1 species